rnacentral:lncRNA from 1 species
AGAAAAACAAAAAUGUCACUCAUCUAGACAUCUACUGCCAUCAUUGCUGCUGCGUUUGCGCGUUUGCUGCGUUAUCGAGGAAUCGAGUUACUUAUUUGGAUUUCGAUUAAUCUGGAGAAAUAAAUCACAUAUUCCCGUUAUGGACUGAAACUGUACAGUGCAUGAUGUUAUAAAGCAAGCAUGGUAUAUGCAUAUAUGCUACGUGAAAACCCGAGCAAAAUUGUCUACCUCGAUAACAUUAUAUUGCUGGAUGUUCCUUUUAGUCACACCUUCCGCUGCCAAAAUGUGUCUUUUUAGCCCAACAGUUGUGGAAUCAUGUACAAUACAGGUUCAUUCAUGCUGUGAAUUAUAAAUGCUUCUGUAUCAUGCGUAUUUGGUUGUACCUCCUACAUCAAAUGGAGGCUGUUUGGGAGUCAUGAUAGUUCUUCACUGCUGACCUGAACAAACACCUAUCAAAAGUUCAUUCAUGCCUGUUAAUGAUUGAUGCUUCUGUACCAGGCAUAUUUUGGUGUUUUGGCAGAAAUUUAUCAACGUCAAAGUCAAGAAAUUGGACAGUGUCGAGUCUGAGACCAAUUUGAAAAUACUGGGCAGCAAAUUUGACACUGGAUCUCAGCUGUGCCCACUCUGAGCAGUUCAACUGCAGACCUCCAGUUGUUGCUACCUUUAAAACGGUUAUGUACAUUUUCGAACCGUUUGACAUGUCUCGACUUAACUACAUGCAGCUAGCGUUAUUUUUGCAGCCCACGGGAUAGGUUGCCAUUACGUUGACGACUGGAGCGUCUUUCCAGGUCCUGUUUGCGACCUUUCGGUUUUGUUUAUUGUCAAUGUGAAUGGUCGUUUGAAGAUUUGCCAGGUUCCAGAGAUCUGCUAAAAGAGGGCUACCGUCUUUCUUUCGGUUUCAUCGGUUUCUUUUCAUCAAUCCAAUGAACAACACUGAAAUUCAGACUUCAAUGAAGAAUCUUGGCAGCAAUUCAGUCUAAACUGUGACAAAACCCAUCCCCGGCAACGUCAACCUGCAGAAGGAAGAGGCCA